AUAAUUCUAUUUUAUUAUUGUGGCUGGUUCUUUGCAAGCUGUGUGUCGUUAUUGUAACAGUUAUCUCGCACGCAACUUUAUCGUCAAAUUCCAACAAGCAGCAAGUCGAGCAAAACAAAACUAUACCUUCAAAAAUGAAGAACCUUCUGUGUUUCCUUGUUGUUGUGAGUCUGGUGUCUGUCCUCGUCAGCGGUUACGAGAGGGAGGAAGACACAAAGCUGACCGAACUGCUGCGUGAAGUGAAGGACUAUCUGGAAGUCAAGGAGCUUUACAAGGACUUGGCAGAAAGCAUUGCUAAGAGGGGAAGGUGCUGUCCUGCUACUUAUUGUAACUCCGUUUGUAAUGGUGAAAACUGCUGUGAAAAGUAGGGUUUAUCCCCAGACUCCCACCGUGUCAAGGCAUCACUAGUGUGGAGGAUUCACCAUUGGUGUAUCUGCUCAUCAUUGCUAUUCAGUCUCAGCCAGAAAGAAUGAAACAAUAUCGUAAUUAGCCCUUGUGGCAUUUUAAUCAUCUUAUAUUAAUUGGGUAAAUGGGUAAUAUGUAAAAGCAUUAUUCUCUUGUCUGUAAUCUUUAAAGGGAAUGUACGUCAUUGGCUUUUGCUGUAAUUUUAGAAAUGAACUAUUUGGGGGGUUAGUAUAAUAGAUCAAAUAUUGUUACACUGACAUGUUUGAAGUUUUGGGUUCGAAAAUGCUAGAAAAACAAAGAAAAACAAAAAUAUUCAAGUAGUCUGGUUCCCUGACUCCACUAAAGAUGGAAUGGAUAAAACAUACCAGAAAAUUGUAAGGUAAGGGAACCAGUCUAGCUGGCCUGCACCCGUUCAUGAGCAUGGAACCAAUAGCUAGCAAAGCAAGACUAAAAAAAAAUGGUAAAUUUGGUGCAGUAAUUGAAAAAUAGUUAGGUUUUUCCAACGGUGGUCGGCCGACCAGCGUUGGAAAUGUAGACAAAUAUACCAUUUUUUUUUUAAAUGGCUUCACACCAGGUGCCAUAAUUUUACAGGAUGAUUAAGCAUGUCAUUUACCAACAUCCUAGUAAGGUAUUUCGUAACUACUUGGUAGUUUUAUUUUUCGAUGUUAGCAAAUGUUGUAUUUUCCCUUUAAAACUUUUUUCUGUAAUCUUCUUGCUUCCUAUCCGAGUAGUGGUAUUACAUUAUCGUUAUAUUUAAAUUGCAAAGAGAUUUAAAUUGGAAAGAGGUUCCUUUAAAAAGCGAGUAAGUCCCACCGCACAUGGGUCAUAAUUAAAUACCAAUCGGGUACGGGAUAUUAUUGGCUGUACCAUCAGGGGUAACAGUAUGUGGUGUGGUCAAGUUAACAGAAGAGGACGCAUAAUGAUGACAUUAUUGUACAUGAAGAUGAAUUUGUACCGAUUCAGUUCUGGGGGAGGGGGCGGGAAAGGCCUUACUAAAUUUCUCAAGAAUAACUUACUCAAAUACCGCUGGAUCUCGAAUAUCUUUGUAUAAUCUGAUAAAGUAACAUAACAGUGCAGUGGUAUAUAAUCGUUGCUUAAUACAUUUAAUAAAUCUUUGGUGAUGGUUGAUUUUAAUAAACUGAGCAAGGACUACAAACCUUCAUUUGGCGUGUGCUUAAAACAUACGUGUUGGACUUGAAAACCCAGCAAAGUCAAUUUUCAAAUGAAGCUGUCAAUGUUUCAUAACAUCGUCAGUAUUACGAGUUAUUUAAAUCUAUUUGAAACAAGAAAAGUGGUGUUUGAUGAUAGGAUUUGCUCUUCACCCAUUUUUGUUAACAGCUACGAAUUAAAAUCAAGUUUGCAAAAAUAUUUUGGCCUCAUCAAGUUUUCACAUAUAUUUAAUUAAGUGCUGAAUAUUUCAAAGGCAUUAUUGUAUUGUUCUUGAAACAUCACAGCUCCUUACUUUGAUAUGUCGUCGUGCAUAAUAAAGAACAGUUUAUGUAUAUCCUAAAAGAUAAUUGACGUCAGUUGCAAACAAAAUAUACAAAUCUAUACAUCUGCCGAUUUGUAAGGACGAACAGUACAAUAAAGCUGACGAAGCAGGUUAUUUACACAUUAA
rnacentral:lncRNA from 1 species